UACAGAGGUCUCAAGCGUUGUUCGGAUUCAUUGGGCGUAAAGGGUGCGUAGGCGGCGCGGUAAGUCGGGUGUGAAAUCUCGGAGCUUAACUCCGAAACUGCAUUCGAUACUGCCGUGCUUGAGGACUGGAGAGGAGACUGGAAUUUACGGUGUAGCGGUGAAAUGCGUAGAUAUCGUAAGGAAGACCAGUGGACGGAAGGCGGGUCUCUGGACAGUUCCUGACGCUGAGGCACGAAGGCCAGGGGAGCAAACGGG
rnacentral:rRNA from 1 species